AGAGUUUGAUCAUGGCUCAGGAUCAACGCUGGCGGCGUGCCUAAUGCAUGCAAGUCGCACGGCUACCUUUCGGGGCAGCAGUGGCGAACGGCUGAGGAACACGUACGAACCUACCCGCUCGUGGGGAAUAACGCGCCGAAAGGCGUGCUAAUACCGCGUACGCUUGGGCGACCAAGGAAAGCAGCGAUGCGCGGGCGGUGGGGCGUGCGGCCCAUCAGGUGGUUGGCGGGGUAAUGGCCCACCAAGCCGGUGACGGGUCGCUGGUCUGUGAGGACGAUCAGCCAGACUGGGACUGAGACACGGCCCAGACACCUACGGGUGGCAGCAGCAAGGAAUCUUCGGCACUGGGCGCAAGCCUGACCGAGCAACGCCGCGUGGAGGACGACGGCCUUCGGGUUGUAAACUCCUUUCGGCGGGGACGAAACGGACGGUACCCGCAGAAGCAGCCCCGGCUAACUCUGUGCCAGCAGCCGCGGUAAUACAGAGGGGGCAAGCGUUGUCCGGAUUUACUGGGCGUACAGCGCGCGCAGGCGGGUGGUGACGUGCCGUGUGACAAGCCGCAGCUUAACUGCGGAGGGCCAUGGUAGACGCACCGCCUGGAGGCAGGGAGAGGGAUGUGGAAUACCCGGUGGAGCGGUGAAAUGCGUAGAGAUCGGGUGGAACACCAGCGGCGAAGGCGGCAUCCUGGUCCUGACCUGACGCUGAGGCGCGAGAGCGUGGGGAGCGAACCGGAUUAGAUACCCCCGUAGUCC
rnacentral:rRNA from 1 species